CCUACGUGGGGCAGCAGUGGGGAAUAUUGCACAAUGGGCGCAAGCCUGAUGCAGCAACGCCGCGUGAGCGAAGAAGGUCUUCGGAUCGUAAAGCUCUGUCCUUGAGGAAGAAGGAAGUGACGGUACUCAAGGAGGAAGCCCCGGCUAACUACGUGCCAGCAGCCGCGGUAAUACGUAGGGGGCAAGCGUUGUUCGGAAUGACUGGGCGUAAAGGGUGUGUAGGCGGUGUAGCAAGUUAGAAGUGAAAUACCUAGAGCUUAACUCAGGUGCUGCUUCUAAAACUGCUAUACUUGAGUGCAGUAGAGGAAAGUGGAAUUCCUAGUGUAGCGGUGGAAUGCGUAGAUAUUAGGAGGAACAUCAGUGGCGAAGGCGACUUUCUGGACUGUAACUGACGCUGAGGCACGAAAGUGUGGGGAGCAAACAGGAUUAGAUACCCCAGUAGUC
rnacentral:rRNA from 1 species